ACGCUAGCUACAGGCUUAACACAUGCAAGUCGAGGGGCAGCAUGGAAGAAGCUUGCUUCUUCUGAUGGCGACCGGCGCACGGGUGCGUAACGCGUAUCAAACCUGCCUCAUACUCGGGGAUAGCCUUGCGAAAGUAAGAUUAAUACCCGAUGUUGUUAUGUUACCGCAUGGUGAUAUAACCAAAGAUUUAUCGGUAUGAGAUGGUGAUGCGUCCGAUUAGGUAGUAGGCGGGGUAACGGCCCACCUAGCCUUCGAUCGGUAGGGGUUCUGAGAGGAAGGUCCCCCACACUGGAACUGAGACACGGUCCAGACUCCUACGGGAGGCAGCAGUGAGGAAUAUUGGUCAAUGGACGCAAGUCUGAACCAGCCAAGUAGCGUGCAGGAUGACGGCCCUCCGGGUUGUAAACUGCUUUUAGUUGGGAAUAAAAAAGAGGACGUGUCCUCUAUUGUAUGUACCUUCAGAAAAAGGACCGGCUAAUUCCGUGCCAGCAGCCGCGGUAAUACGGAAGGUCCAGGCGUUAUCCGGAUUUAUUGGGUUUAAAGGGAGCGUAGGCGGAUUAUUAAGUCAGUGGUGAAAGACGGUGGCUCAACCAUCGUUAGCCAUUGAAACUGGUAGUCUUGAGUGCAGACAGGGAUGCUGGAACUCGUGGUGUAGCGGUGAAAUGCUUAGAUAUCACGAUGAACUCCGAUCGCGAAGGCAGGUGUCCGGGCUGCAACUGACGCUGAGGCUCGAAAGUGUGGGUAUCAAACAGGAUUAGAUACCCUGGUAGUCCACACAGUAAACGAUGUAUACUCGCGGUUUGCGAUAUAAUGUAAGCCGCCAAGCGAAAGCAUUAAGUAUACCACCUGGGGAGUACGCCGGCAACGGUGAAACUCAAAGGAAUUGACGGGGGCCCGCACAAGCGGAGGAA
rnacentral:rRNA from 1 species